AUUGAACGCUGGCGGCAGGCCUAACACAUGCAAGUCGAGCGGAUGAAGGGAGCUUGCUCCUGGAUUCAGCGGCGGACGGGUGAGUAAUGCCUAGGAAUCUGCCUGGUAGUGGUGGAUAACGUCCGGAAACGGGCGCUAAUACCGCAUACGUCCUGAGCGAGAAAGUGGGGGAUCUUCGGACCUCACGCUAUCAUAUGAGCCUAGGCCGGAUUAGCUAGUUGGUGGGGUAAAGGCCUACCAAGGCGACGAUCCGUAACUGGUCUGAGAGGAUGAUCAGUCACACGGGAACUGGGACACGGUCCAGACUCCUAAGACAGGCAGCAGUGGGGAAUAUUGGACAAUGGGCGAAAGCCUUAUCCAGCCAUGCCGCGUGUGUGAAGAAGGUCUUCGGAUUGUAAAGCACGUUUAGUUGGGAGGAAGGGCAGUAAGUUAAUAACUUGCUGUUUUGACGUUACCAACAGAAUAAGCACCGGCUAACUUCGUG
rnacentral:rRNA from 1 species